UUAUACAUCUUCGUAUCUGCAAUCAGCUGUUUGAUACUCCCCAAUAAGACAGUUACUGAAGUGACUAAUAUCCAUCCAAGGUAGAAAACUCUUGAAAGAAGUUACCUGCUUCUCCUUCAAAAUCUUCUCAAAGGCUUACUUAUUUUCUCUGUAUCAUAAACAGACAUUUGGUUGAUGUAAUCACCUUGGAAACAUAGAAAUUGUAUUGACUCAGAGUAACACCAUGCAAACAUGGCUUUCCACCAUGUGUUGGUAAGUUUUCCUUGCCUUGCCUAGUGCCACAUAAAAGUAACUCAUCAGUGUCCUUCAAGAGCAACAUACUCUGUAUUGCAUUCCCAAUUCCUGUUUCCCAUUUCUGAGGUGAUAUUUCCUCUCUGAAACUUCACCAUCUUCCACAUCGCUUCUCCAAGUUCCUGUGUAGGUAGCAAGGAACUUUCUCACAAAUUAAGUCUGCAGUGAUGGGAUUAAACCUCAAAAACAAACUGAAAUAGUGGCUUUCCACAGGAUCUACCAUGAGACCAAACUCUUUUUAACAGAAUAUCUCAUACCUCUGACUGCUUCAGGUCCUUCAGAAAUCACUGAAAUAUAUUAAAAAUGGUUGAGAAGCACAGUGAAAAUAAUACCCAUAUUUACUGAAAACAGAAGGAAUUGUAACACUUCACUUAUCUUUGUGUGAAGCCUCUCUCCCGCGGCCGCGGGACUGUACGGGUGCCCGGCUGGGUGCCCCCGGCCCGGCCGAAGAUGGCCACACGAAGUGCCACUCCUGGAUUCCCUCCGGAACCCUGGGUAGUGGUUACCGUCUGCGGCGUGGGUGGCGCAGGCGGGAUCUUCGGCUAUGAGCUACCGAAACAAAGGAAGGAGGAGACUGCAGAAUGAAACUUGAUCCUGUUUCACCAGAUGGGGGCUGGCGUGGAGUAAGAGGAAAAGGAAAAGAGGAAAUUUUAUGCCAACAGAAGAAACACAACAGUAACACUCCAGAAAUAUGCAUUAUUGUAACUAAUAAUGAGAAGUUACAAAAAAUGAAAUCUGGAUUAGAAGACAACUGCUGACAACACUGCCCACCUGCUGUUCUUAAACACUCUUCUAUAAACAGUUCAAGCCCUAAUUAUAUCCCUGUGCUGUUGAUGCUGAACAGAUAACCAGGAAUUUUACUGAAGAAAUGAAAACACAGAAAUAGAGAAAAUAGUUUGAAAGGAAACGAGGAAUUCAAGAGUCUCUGAGAUAUUUUAAUGGAAGGCGUGUCAUAGGGCUGGGAGCAGAGUAUGAGCAACUGUGCCUGCAAAGUAGCAACUGUGCUACUUUCAUGAUAAACCCACAUGGAAGGCAUAGGAGACUGUUUCCAUUAUAGCCCCUCAGCAGUUAGAUUACUAUUUUCAUGGACAGGGUUAAGCUUCCCAUGAGACGGUGUGCAUAUGCUACAGGUGAAAUUUGCCUACCACUGUUUGAAAUUUAAGACAAAAAUUGUGGUAAUGGGAGAUUGUGUUCAUUCCCAACUGUGUAAAUGCUGAAUUUAUACAACAGCCUUGCAAGAAGACCUGCUGUUGGGACCAUUCAGAGUAAAAGUAGUAUCUUGCUGAGAGCUAGUGAGCUGUUUUGUGAAAGCUGGUUGCACACCUUGUUGUGAUGAGCAACAUAGCAAAUAAAACUUUUGAACCAUGCUGGAUGGUGUGAUCUGACUGCAGUUUGUUCAGCUUCAUUGAAGAGGUAAUUUAAAAAAAAAACUUGGAAAGGCAAUACUUUUAAUCCAGCAGGUAGAUUGAAGGCCUGACUAAAUUUACACUGGAUAAU